rnacentral:rRNA from 1 species
ACCCGCUGAACUUAAGCAUAUCAAUAAGCGGAGGAAAAGAAACCAACAGGGAUUGCCUCAGUAACGGCGAGUGAAGCGGCAACAGCUCAAAUUUGAAAUCUGGCUCUUUCAGGGUCCGAGUUGUAAUUUGUAGAAGAUGCUUCGGGUGUGGUCCCGGUCUAAGUUCCUUGGAACAGGACGUCAUAGAGGGUGAGAAUCCCGUAUGUGACUGGGUACCUACGCUCAUGUGAAGCUCUUUCGACGAGUCGAGUUGUUUGGGAAUGCAGCUCAAAAUGGGUGGUAAAUUUCAUCUAAAGCUAAAUAUUGGCCAGAGACCGAUAGCGCACAAGUAGAGUGAUCGAAAGAUGAAAAGCACUUUGGAAAGAGAGUUAAACAGUACGUGAAAUUGUUGAAAGGGAAGCGCUUGCAAUCAGACUUGCGCCUAGUUGAUCAUCCGGGCUUCUGCCCGGUGCACUCGAUUAGGCUCAGGCCAGCAUCGGUUUGGGUGGUUGGAUAAAGACUUGGGGAACGUAGCCUCCUUCGGGGGGUGUUAUAGCCCCAGGUGCAAUGCAGCCUACCUGGACCGAGGACCGCGCUUCGGCUAGGAUGCUGGCGUAAUGGUUGU